rnacentral:rRNA from 1 species
ACGUCCGUACCAUGCUGAAUACACCGGUUCUCGUUAUAUCACCGAAGUUAAGCAUCAUCAUUGGGCGCGGUCAGUACUUGGGUGAGUGACCACCUGGGAACACUGCGUGCCGUU